rnacentral:rRNA from 1 species
CCAGACUCCUACGGGAGGCAGCAGUGGGGAAUAUUGCACAAUGGGGGAAACCCUGAUGCAGCCAUGCCGCGUGUGUGAAGAAGGCCUUCGGGUUGUAAAGCACUUUCAGCGAGGAGGAAAGGUUGGUGCCUAAUACGUAUCAGCUGUGACGUUACUCGCAGAAGAAGCACCGGCUAACUCCGUGCCAGCAGCCGCGGUAAUACGGAGGGUGCAAGCGUUAAUCGGAAUUACUGGGCGUAAAGCGCACGCAGGC